GAAAAAUGAGUAGAAAAACCGUAAUUUUCGCAGAUUAAGUGUAAUGGCGUAAUUUAAUGGUUAAAAUCGUAAUAAUUAUGAAAAAAGCGUAAGGGCUGGCAUCUCUGCGAUUUUGAGUGAGUGAGU